ACGCCCCGCAAGGGGAGUGGCAGACGGGUGAGUAACGCGUGGGAACAUACCCUUUCCUGCGGAAUAGCUCCGGGAAACUGGAAUUAAUACCGCAUACGCCCUACGGGGGAAAGAUUUAUCGGGGAAGGAUUGGCCCGCGUUGGAUUAGCUAGUUGGUGGGGUAAAGGCCUACCAAGGCGACGAUCCAUAGCUGGUCUGAGAGGAUGAUCAGCCACAUUGGGACUGAGACACGGCCCAAACUCCUACGGGAGGCAGCAGUGGGGAAUAUUGGACAAUGGGCGCAAGCCUGAUCCAGCCAUGCCGCGUGAGUGAUGAAGGCCUUAGGGUUGUAAAGCUCUUUCACCGGAGAAGAUAGUGACGGUAUCCGGAGAAAAAACCCCGGCUAGCUUCGUGCCAGCAGCCGCGGUAAUACUCAGGGGGCUAGCGUUGUUCGGAAUUACUGGGCGUAAAGCGCACGUAGGCUGAUAUUUAAGUCAGGGGUG
rnacentral:rRNA from 1 species